UACGUAGGUGGCGAGCGUUGUCCGGAUUUACUGGGCGUAAAGGGAGCGUAGGCGGACUUUUAAGUGAGAUGUGAAAUACCCGGGCUCAACUUGGGUGCUGCAUUUCAAACUGGAAGUCUAGAGUGCAGGAGAGGAGAAUGGAAUUCCUAGUGUAGCGGUGAAAUGCGUAGAGAUUAGGAAGAACACCAGUGGCGAAGGCGGCUUUCUGGCGCAUAACUGACGCUGAGGCUCGAAAGCGUGGGGAGCGAACCGGAUUAGAUACCCGGUAGU
rnacentral:rRNA from 1 species